rnacentral:tRNA from 3 species
GCGGAUGUGGCGGAAUUGGCAGACGCGCUAGACCCAGGAUCUAGUGUCAUUGUGACGUGAGGGUUCGAGUCCCUCCAUCCGCA